AACGAACGCUGGCGGCAUGCCUAACACAUGCAAGUCGAACGAGACCUUCGGGUCUAGUGGCGCACGGGUGCGUAACGCGUGGGAACCUGCCCUUAGGUUCGGAAUAACUCCCCGAAAGGGGUGCUAAUACCGGAUAAUGUCUUCGGACCAAAGAUUUAUCGCCUUUGGAUGGGCCCGCGUUGGAUUAGCUAGUUGGUAGGGUAAAAGCCUACCAAGGCGACGAUCCAUAGCUGGUCUGAGAGGAUGAUCAGCCACACUGGGACUGAGACACGGCCCAGACUCCUACGGGAAGCAGCAGUGGGGAAUAUUGGACAAUGGGCGAAAGCCUGAUCCAGCAAUGCCGCGUGAGUGAUGAAGGCCUUAGGGUUGUAAAGCUCUUUUACCCGGGAUGAUAAUGACAGUACCGGGAGAAUAAGCUCCGGCUAUCUCCGUG
rnacentral:rRNA from 1 species